rnacentral:tRNA from 1 species
UGGCUAGUGGCGAAGCGGUCUAACGCAUCUCCGUGUCAAGGAGACAGUCUCGGGUUUGAAUCCCGUCUCGUUGG